GCAUAAUCUCUGAGGAGAAAAGCAGGGGAUCGCAAGACCUUGCGCUUUUGGAGCGGCCGAUGUCUGAUUAGCUUGUUGGUAAGGUAAAAGCUUACCAAGGCUUCGAUCAGUAGCUGGUCUGAGAGGACGACCAGCCACACUGGGACUGAGACACGGCCCAGACUCCUACGGGAGGCAGCAGUGGGGAAUUUUGGACAAUGGGGGCAACCCUGAUCCAGCCAUGCCGCGUGAGUGAAGAAGGCCUUCGGGUUGUAAAGCUCUUUCAGCCGGAACGAAACGGUUACGGUUAAUACCCGUGACUACUGACGGUACCGGAAGAAGAAG
rnacentral:rRNA from 1 species